CUACGUGAAGACACAUAGAGGAGACGUCCAUCUAUAAGCCACGGAGAAAGGCAUCAGAAGAAACCAGUCUUGCCAACACCUUGAUCUCAGACGUCUAGCCGGCAGAAUGAUGGAGUUUUGCUCUUGUUGCCCAGGCUGAAGUUCAGUGGCGUGAUCUCAGCUCACUGCAACCUCCACCUCCCGGAUUCAAGUGAUUCUCCUGCCUCAGCCUCCUGAGUAGCUGAGAUUAAAGGCACCUUCCCCCAUGCCAAGCUAAUUUUUUGUAUUUUUAGUAAAGUCGGUGUUUCACUAUGUUGGUCAGGUUGGUCUUGAACUCCUGACCUCAAGUGAUUGACCUUCCUUGGCUUCCCAAAGUGCUGGGAUUACAGGCCUGAGCCACCAUGCCUGGCCUACAUUAAAGCUAUUAACACCUUAUUUACCAUAUGUGUUACAAUGAUUUUCCAAGGUUAAACAUCUAGUUAAAUCUAAAAAUCAGAUAUAUUUGAAGAUUACAGGACUGUUAUGUAGAACACCCCUCAUCCGAGUCUGUCUAAUAUUUCCUUGUGAUUAUGUUGGGACUAUUCAUUUUUCUCAUGAUUAUUAUAGACAUGAUGCUUUAGUCUGUUCAUUGCAUCCCAUCAGGGACACAUGAUUUCCAUGUAUUUUAUUACUGGUGAUGUUGUCUUUGAUCACUUGGGUAAAGGUAUAUCUGCCAGCCUU